rnacentral:rRNA from 1 species
GAGCGGCGAACGGGUGAGUAACACGUGAGCAACCUGCCCCUGACUUUGGGAUAAGCCCGGGAAACUGGGUCUAAUACCGGAUGCGACCACUCAAGGCAUCUUGUGGUGGUGGAAAGUUUUUCGGUUGGGGAUGGGCUCGCGGCCUAUCAGCUUGUUGGUGGGGUGAUGGCCUACCAAGGCGACGACGGGUAACCGGCCUGAGAGGGCGACCGGUCACACUGGGACUGAGACACGGCCCAGACUCCUACGGGAGGCAGCAGUGGGGAAUAUUGCGCAAUGGGCGGAAGCCUGACGCAGCGACGCCGCGUGGGGGAUGACGGCCUUCGGGUUGUAAACCUCUUUCAGCAGGGACGAAGGGUGACUGACGGUACCUGCAGAAGAAGCGCCGGCUAACUACGUGCCAGCAGCCGCGGUAAUACGUAGGGCGCAAGCGUUGUCCGGAAUUAUUGGGCGUAAAGAGCUCGUAGGCGGUUUGUCGCGUCUGUCGUGAAAGCCCACA